UUAGCCUGUUCAGGAGGCUGAUUGACAGUAUCCCUUGAAAGGCAGUUCUGAAGGACAAACUAGUUCAGGAAGGUUGAGCAUUUUCAAGGAAAUGUUAAAUGCAUGGAAACAGGUCAUCCCCAUGUGCCAAUAGAUGCCAAUAGGGCAGAGAAGAAGACCAGACUGUCUGAACAUAGAGCUUUGACUGGAACGCAGGCAGGAAAAAGAGAGUUUAUGACCUUUGUAAGAAGUGGAAGGAAAUUCAAGAGGACUACAACGAUGUGUGAGAUUAUGCAGGAAGUAAAUUUGGAAGGUCAAAGUCCGCAUGGACCUUGGGCUGACUAUUGGCAUAGAAAGCAAUAAAACAAGUUUCCAUAAAUACAUCAGCAAAAAAAAGAGGGCCAAGAAAAAACUCCAUCCUUAGUUGGAUUCUGGGGAAACAUAGUUACAAAGCCUUGAGCCCAGGUUCAUUUAAUAUCUUUAUCAACAUAUGGGCCAAGGACACUUAUAUGAGGUUCAGGAAGGUGACGUGCCUGGUCCCUGCACUUCAGUCACAACACUUCAUGCAAUGCUAGAAGCUUGGGGAGGAACGACUAGAAAUCUGCCCAGAAAGAGAGUGGACAGCAGGACUAGGGCAGUUAAUGCUGCCCUCUACUUGGCACAGUGAGGCUGCAUCUUAAAUACUCUGUUUAGUUUUGGGUCACUCACUACAAGAAAGAUAUUGAGGUGCUGGAGCAAGUCUAGAGAAGGACAACAAAGCUGGCACAAGGCAAAAGGCCUGGAGCACAAGUCUUAUGACAAUAGCUGAUGGAACUGGAGUUGUUUAGCCUGGAGAAAAGGAGGCUUGGGGGGACUUCAUAAGUCUCUACAACGACCUGGAAGGAGGUUUUAUUCAGGGAUGUACUGCGGAGGAAAAUUUCCUAGAUAAUAAUUUACAACACAUGCCUUCUUCAGAAUAAUGAGAGUAAAAUAUGACUGCAUGCACAUAUUUCACUUACAAGUUGGUUCAAAAUAAACUAUAGAAGUUUGGAUGUCAUAAGAUCUCAGUGAUUGUGACUAGACAUGGUGAAAACUCAGCUGAAGUUGUAAUGAGUCCAAUACUAAAGGUGAGUAGAAGGAAUCUGCACUUUGCAACUAGCCUUAUGUCUGUAGUAUAUCUAAUCCAUAUUUGUGUCUAGACCAAUUCACAGAGGCCCAACACAGACCAUCUCCAAUGGGGUUUUUAAGCCUGCAUAUAUCAAGGCAUUUAUAGACUGGACUGCUGUGUUUUCUGCCUUCAGACAUGUUUGUAACUAAAAAUGCAACUUGUGGGUGCACUGAAUCUUUACACUAAAUUUUCAGUUCCCAGUGAUAUUAAUUGAAACUACAUAUACACAGAGUGAAGUAUGAUUUGAGCUUCAGGAACUAAAUGCAUGAAAAACAGGGCUAUGAUAAAAAAAAUUUACUAUUCUUGCGGUUGCUCUGCAAAGUCUUAUUUCCAUUAUUUUUUUUUUUAAUAGAACUUGGGAAGCCAUUCUUCACAUGAAUGAGCAUGAGCUCAUCCCCCUUCCAUUUACUGAAAAAUACACCAGGUUUCUUCUGUAGCAGAAACCAAAUAUUUUUUUCUGAUGUGUUUAACCAUGCCACAGGCAAUGUGCAUAACUACAGACAAAACAAGUAUAACCACUAUUUUGACCCAAUUAUAAGAGAUGCCUCUGCCUGAAUUAGGGUGCAAAUGAGACAAUAUGCUGAAGUCAAUACCAUGGAUUUUAUUUAACAGUAAAAGUCAUGUAGAGAGAAAGAAACAGGAGGACAGGCAGAGAAGAGAAGGGGAAAGAAAAUGAGCGAAAAAGAGAGAUCUAGCAAAGAUACCACACCACAUGGGUGCCUGUGGCAUCCCACUGUUCCUUUUUCACCCUCCUCUUCUCAGUAGUGGGGAUGACAGAGUCUCUCUUCUGGAGGUGCCACUUUUAUACAGUCCAAGUCACAGGUAACCACAGGGCGCAGACGCAGUUCCUAUAAUAUGAGGUGGCAUGUGUAUAUGACUAGUGCUGAGAAAACAGACAUAAAAUGAUGUAUGUGAUGUAUAAUUUCCCAGUCACAGAGACAAGACGUCUUGUUGUAGGUGUUCAACUUAAGGAACCAGAAAAGAGGCGAGAAAAAAAAUGAGGUAGAGAGAACAGUGCAGUUGAGACAUGCAGUGCAGUCAUCUUCAGUACCCAAACCUCCACUUAGAAAGCUAAGAAGAUCAAAGCUAGCUGAUUAUAUUUUUAAAAAUAAUUGAAUGCAAAUGAACGAUCAUGAAUUUUCAGAAUAAUUAAGUUCUCUAUCAAAAACCACGGAAUUUGCCAUGUGCCACCAAGAGUCAGCAAUACAUCCUUGUGGCAAAGAAGACCAAUGGUAUCCAAGGCCGCAUUAGGAGGAUUAUUGCCAACAGUGACUGAAGCAUCUCUUUUAUGAGGAAAGACUGAGAGCUGUAAAUUUUCAGUCUGGAUAAGACAAGGCUGAGGGGAAGUCUUAUAAACAGAUGUAAAUACUUGAAGGGAGGGUGCAUGGAUGUUGGGCUUAGGUUCUUUUCAGUGAUGACAAGUGACAGAGGCAAUAGGCACAAAGUGAAACACAAAAGGUUCCAUCUGAGCCUAUUUUCCACUGUGUGCUGAAAGAUGUACUGGCACCACGAGGACAUUUUAAGGAACAAAACUGCUAAACGCUGAAAGGAGUAAAAAAUAUCUGAAGUGCAAAAUAAAACUCUCAGUCUUUUAUCAUAGCAAGAAAAAUAGUCUGACAUGUUCUUUCUGUGAUAGACAAGGUUACGAAGUAUAGAGAAAAAUGAUGA